rnacentral:miRNA from 1 species
UAAGCUCGUCUCUACAGGCAGG